AUUGAACGCUGGCGGUAGGCCUAACACAUGCAAGUCGAACGCGCAGCGAGAGGUGCUUGCACCUUUCAAGCGAGUGGCGAACGGGUGAGUAACACGUGGAUAACCUGCCUCAAGGCUGGGGAUAACAUUUGGAAACAGAUGCUAAUACCGAAUAAAACUUAGUAUCGCAUGAUAUAAAGUUAAAAGGCGCUACGGCGUCACCUAGAGAUGGAUCCGCGGUGCAUUAGUUAGUUGGUGGGGUAAAGGCUUACCAAGACAAUGAUGCAUAGCCGAGUUGAAAGACUGAGCGGCCACAUUGGGACUGAGACACGGCCCAAACUCCUACGGGAGGCUGCAGUAGGGAAUCUUCCACAAUGGGCGCAAGCCUGAUGGAGCAACGCCGCGUGUGUGAUGAAGGCUUUCGGGUCGUAAAGCACUGUUGUAUGGGAAGAAAUGCUAAAAUAGGGAAUGAUUUUAGUUUGACGGUACCAUACCAGAAAGGGACGGCUAAAUACGUGCCAGCAGCCGCCGCCGUAA
rnacentral:rRNA from 1 species